rnacentral:lncRNA from 1 species
GGAGGGCUGCGGUUAGAGCUGAGAAGUAAGCAGUGGCCCUCCCUUCGGUGCCGCACAGAGAUGUCCACCGACCUUCCCCUCCUGCGUGCCUGGAGCGCUAUCCUGGGCAGCCGCAGGACUGUGUGUCGCCCCCUCCCUCAGCGCUCACCCGGAGCGCCCGCGUCUCCUUCGCUUGCGGUUUCUGGUCGGCUCCCAGCUGGCCCAGACUUGCUCUAAAGUAGGAGGAACCGCUGUCGAGCGAAAAGUGCACACCGGCACCAACAAAGCAGGAAGGGCAGAGGAUUCAUCCAUCAGGCCUUGUGCUAUCCAUCCAGACUUUCUGAGAGAGAAAUCUACAAGAGCCAGCCCUUAAAAGUGUGGCUUAGUUUCUCAAAGAAGGACCAAAGUUUUGUCAAGAACACCCAGAUGAAGACCUUCCUAGACCUGUAAACUGGGAUUACCAAGUUCUUGACUUCACAAGGAAGUUUCAACCAAUUCUGACCUAAUACUCUACCGGAGAUCCACAACCUUCCUAAUCCCCACCCCCUCCUCGUCCCGCCCCCGCGCCUCAAAAACUAUGGAGAAAAAGAAGGUGUGCCCAAGGCUGGACCGAAGUCAUCCUGCCCCUUCUUCAAAAGAGAGACACCUCCCAAGGCCAACGCCCUCCGGAGGGGCCCAGGUGCUCCUCCCUUCUGGCAUCUAUUCCGUCUGGCAUCUAUUCCGUCUGGCAUCUAUUCCUCUGCAAAGGAUCAGAAAGGAAGCCGCUGGCUCAAUGGAUUCUGGAUUUCGGGUAGACCUGACUGCUUUGGGGCAUCCUCAAUCGGGCGGUGAAGCCUCUGGGGGCAGAGGAGCGUCGUGGGAGAGGAGCGUCGUGGGAGAAAGACAAGCUAGGCUGCUGCUUCCCUACCCAUGCCAACUUCCCGGGUCUCGUCUUGAAACAAGAGCAGAGGCCUGAGACCCGGGCGCCAUUGCUGGCCAGGCUCCCCUCCCCCACACUCCUUUCUUUGCUUCUCGAAGACCCGGGAGGGAGGAGGCGGCGAGCGCCUCGGUGG